UAGAUAGGCUGGGUGUGUAAGCGUUGUGAGACGUUGAGCUAACCAGUACUAAUUGCCCGAGAGGCUUAACUAU
rnacentral:rRNA from 1 species